ACCAGGCAUGGUAACUCAUGCCUGUAAUCCCAGCAGCCUGGGAGGCUGAGGUAGGAGGAUCAAGAGUUCAAAGCCAACCUCAGCAAAAGCGAGGUGCUGAGCAACUCAGUGAGACCCUGUCUCCA
rnacentral:sRNA from 1 species